rnacentral:rRNA from 1 species
CUGAAACUUAAAGGAAUUGGCGGGGGAGCACCACCAGGCCGUGAAGCUUGCGGUUUAAUUGGAUGUCAACGCCGGAAAUCUUACCGGGGUCGACAGCAAAAUGAAGGCCAGGCUGAAGGUCUUGCUAGAUGAGCUGAGAGGCGGUGCAUGGCCAUCGCCAGUUCGUGCCGUGAGGUGUCCUCUUAAGUGAGGUAACGA